rnacentral:rRNA from 1 species
ACAGAGAUAGCUUGCUAUCUGCUGACGAGCGGCGGACGGGUGAGUAAUGCUUGGGAAUAUGCCUUAUGGUGGGGGACAACAGUUGGAAACGACUGCUAAUACCGCAUAACGUCUACGGACCAAAGGGGGGGAUGCUUCGGCACCUCCCGCCAUUUGAUUAGCCCAAGUGAGAUUAGCUAGUAGGUGAGGUAAGAGCUCACCUAGGCGACGAUCUUUAGCUGGUUUGAGAGGAUGAUCAGCCACACUGGGACUGAGACACGGCCCAGACUCCUACGGGAGGCAGCAGUGGGGAAUAUUGCACAAUGGGCGCAAGCCUGAUGCAGCCAUACCGCGUGUGUGAAGAAGGCUCUAGGGUUGUAAAGCACUUUCAGCGAGGAGGAAAGGUUGUAGUUUAAUAUGCUAUAGCUGUGACGUUACUCGCAGAAGAAGGACCGGCUAACUCCGUGCCAGCAGCCGCGGUAAUACGGAGGGUCCGAGCGUUAAUCGGAAUUACUGGGCGUAAAGCGUACGUAGGUGGUUUGUUAAGUUGGAUGUGAAAGCCCAG